GACGAACGCUGGCGGCGUGCUUAACACAUGCAAGUCGAACGAAGUGGCGAACGGGUGAGUAACGCGUAAUCAACCUGCCCUUCAGAGGGGAACACCAGUUGGAAACGACUGCUAAUACCGCAUACUGAAGGAGGGGAAGGCGUCUGAUUAGCUAGUUGGAGGGGUCACGGCCCACCAAGGCGAUGAUCAGUAGCCGGUCUGAGAGGAUGAACGGCCACAUUGGGACUGAGACACGGCCCAGACUCCUACGGGAGGCAGCAGUGGGGAAUCUUUCGCAAUGGACGAAAGUCUGACGGAGCAACGCCGCGUGAGUGAUGACGGCCUUCGGGUUGUAAAGCUCUGUUAAUCGGGACGCGGUACCGGAAUAGAAAGCCACGGCUAACUACGUGCCAGCAGCCGCGGUAAUAC
rnacentral:rRNA from 1 species